AUACGGAGGGUGCAAGCGUUACUCGGAAUCACUGGGCGUAAAGCGCGCGCAGGCGGUCUUUUAAGUUGGAUGUGAAAGCCUACGGCUCAACCGUAGAACUGCAUCCAAAACUAUUAGACUAGAGUGUGGGAGAGGAAGAUGGAAUUAGUUGUGUAGGGGUAAAAUCCGUAGAGAUAACUAGGAAUACCAAAAGCGAAGGCAAUCUUCUGGAACACUACUGACGCUGAGGCGCGAAAGCGUGGGGAGCAAGCAGGAUUAGAAACCCCGGUAGUCC
rnacentral:rRNA from 1 species